UGGAUAUUCAUAUUUGGAUGUAUAGGCUCAGGAAGAAAUUCAAACACAUCUCUCCGUUACACUUCACUGUAACCCGGUGUUUCUUUAUGAUCGAAGCCAGUGCUCAACAUCAGACAUUGGACUAAGAGGAAGGUAGUGCUGAGGAGCCCAAUAGAUUGCUGUCCUGAGAUUCAUAUUCCAGUGGAGAGCAGGGAAAACAGAAGGUACAAACUGCCAGGUGGGUGUACAAACAGAGAGAUAACAUAGAUCUGGGAUGCUAAGCGUUAUCAAUGAACAAGAAACUACUCUUUGAAGAGUGGAUGCUUUAGCUGAGAUCGUCAUUGCUAGAAAGAGUGAACUGUGUUCAGAUGGACAGCAGAGCUGUCCCAGGAAGUUUAAAACCAGGAACACGAAGAGCGAAUGAGAAGCUGUCACAGCAGGAGCCUUGAAUGACAGGACCGGUCCCCUGAACUGAGUCCCUGCCCUGCCAGAUAUGAAGGCAGUUGCUCACCCUCAGCUGUUUCCUCAGGCUGUUUUUACAUCUGCUGUCAGGAUUUGGUGUCUACUCCUUGUAUUAUCGUGGAAAUGCAAUUAAGUAAUAUGUAUGACA
rnacentral:lncRNA from 1 species